rnacentral:rRNA from 1 species
GGCUCAGGAUGAACGCUGGCGGCGUGCCUAACACAUGCAAGUCGAACGAAGUUACUUGCUUAGAUCUCUUCGGAGUGACGAGCUUUUAACUUAGUGGCGGACGGGUGAGUAACACGUGAGCAACCUGCCUUUCAGAGGGGGAUAACGGCUGGAAACGGUCGCUAAUACCGCAUGACAUAUUGAAUCGGCAUCGGUUUAAUAUCAAAGGAGCAAUCCGCUGAAAGAUGGGCUCGCGUCUGAUUAGAUAGUUGGUGGGGUAACGGCCUACCAAGUCGACGAUCAGUAGCCGGACUGAGAGGUUGAACGGCCACAUUGGGACUGAGAUACGGCCCAGACUCCUACGGGAGGCAGCAGUGGGGAAUAUUGCACAAUGGGGGAAACCCUGAUGCAGCAACGCCGCGUGAAGGAAGACGGUUUUCGGAUUGUAAACUUCUUUUCUUAGUGAAGAAGCAAGUGACGGUAGCUAAGGAAUAAGCAUCGGCUAACUACGUGCCAGCAGCCGCGGUAAUACGUAGGAUGCGAGCGUUAUCCGGAAUUACUGGGUGUAAAGGGAGCGCAGGCGGGACUGCAAGUUGGAUGUGAAAUACCGCAGCUUAACUGCGGAGCUGCAUCCAAAACCGUAGUUCUUGAGUGGAGUAGAGGCAAGCGGAAUUCCGAGUGUAGCGGUGAAAUGCGUAGAUAUUCGGAGGAACACCAGUGGCGAAGGCGGCUUGCUGGGCUCUAACUGACGCUGAGGCUCGAAAGUGUGGGGAGCAAACAGGAUUAGAUACCCUGGUAGUCCACACUGUAAACGAUGAUAGCUAGGUGUGGGGGGUCUGACCCCUUCCGUGCCGGAGUUAACGCAAUAAGCUAUCCACCUGGGGAGUACGGCCGCAAGGUUGCAACUCAAAUGAAUUGACGGA